rnacentral:rRNA from 1 species
GCUGGAAUCGCUAGUAAUCGCGGAUCAGAAUGCCGCGGUGAAUACGUUCCCGGGUCUUGUACACACCGCCCGUCACACCAUGGGAGUCGGGAAUGCCCGAAGUCAGUGAACCCAACCGGAAAGGGGGGAGCUGCCGAAGGCAGGCCUGGUAACUGGGGUGAAGUCGUAACAAGGUAGC